rnacentral:sRNA from 1 species
UGAAAUUGUGGCUCUAAAGCGGCUGAAGAUGGAGAAGGAGAAGGAGGGCUUCCCGAUCACGUCACUGAGGGAGAUCAACACCAUCCUCAAGGCCCAGCAUCCCAACAUCGUCACCGUUAGAGUGAGCAUGGCCCCACCACGCCUGGCCCCCUGUGGAAGGCUUUUCCGACAGGGCCCCGUGCUGUCCUGGGGCCGGGUGCUUCCUACACUCCCCUGCGCUUAGUGGAGCCCUUCACAGACCACACAGAAGCAAGCAUUUGCCUCCCAGGUGGCACCGGAGGUCCUUACUGUCCCUCAGCAUCUGCGCCCGGGUGCAGGGGUGGGCGGGGGCCUGGAGGUGCCCAGCACCCACAGAGCCGUGCCCUGCAGGAGAUCGUGGUGGGCAGCAACAUGGACAAGAUCUACAUCGUGAUGAACUACGUGGAGCACGACCUCAAGAGCCUCAUGGAGACUAUGAAACAGCCCUUCCUGCCAGGGGAGGUGAAGACCCUGAUGAUCCAGCUGCUGCGGGGGGUGAAGCACCUGCACGACAACUGGAUCCUGCACCGUGACCUCAAGACGUCCAACCUGCUGCUGA